GGAUGAACGCUGGCGGCGUGCCUAAUCCAUGCAAGUCCAGCGAACAGACGAGGAGCUUGCUCCUCUGACGUUAGCGGCGGACGGGUGAGUAACACGUGGAUAACCUACCUAUAAGACUGGGAUAACUUCGGGAAACCGGAGCUAAUACCGGAUAAUAUAUUGAACCGCAUGGUUCAAUAGUGAAAGACGGUUUUGCUGUCACUUAUAGAUGGAUCCGCGCCGCAUUAGCUAGUUGGUAAGGUAACGGCUUACCAAGGCAACGAUGCGUAGCCGACCUGAGAGGGUGAUCGGCCACACUGGAACUGAGACACGGUCCAGACUCCUACGGGAGGCAGCAGUAGGGAAUCUUCCGCAAUGGGCGAAAGCCUGACGGAGCAACGCCGCGUGAGUGAUGAAGGUCUUCGGAUCGUAAAACUCUGUUAUUAGGGAAGAACAAAUGUGUCAGUAACUAUGCACGUCUUGACGGUACCUAAUCAGAAAGCCACGGCUAACUACGUG
rnacentral:rRNA from 1 species